rnacentral:rRNA from 1 species
AUUGAACGCUGGCGGCAGGCCUAACACAUGCAAGUCGAGCGGAUGAGGGUAGCUUGCUACCUAAUUCAGCGGCGGACGGGUGAGUAAUGCCUAGGAAUCUGCCUGGUAGUGGGGGACAACGUUUCGAAAGGAACGCUAAUACCGCAUACGUCCUACGGGAGAAAGUGGGGGAUCUUCGGACCUCACGCUAUCAGAUGAGCCUAGGUCGGAUUAGCUAGUUGGUGGGGUAAAGGCUCACCAAGGCGACGAUCCGUAACUGGUCUGAGAGGAUGAUCAGUCACACUGGAACUGAGACACGGUCCAGACUCCUACGGGAGGCAGCAGUGGGGAAUAUUGGACAAUGGGCGCAAGCCUGAUCCAGCCAUGCCGCGUGUGUGAAGAAGGUCUUUGGAUUGUAAAGCACUUUAAGUUGGGAGGAAGGGCAGAAAGUUAAUACCUUGCUGUUUUGACGUUACCGACAGAAUAAGCACCGGCUAACUCUGUGCCAGC